AUACGGAGGAUCCGAGCGUUAUCCGGAUUUAUUGGGUUUAAAGGGAGCGUAGGCGGACGCUUAAGUCAGUUGUGAAAAUUUGCGGCUCAACCGUAAAAUUGCAGUUGAUACUGGGUGUCUUGAGUACAGUAGAGGCAGGCGGAAUUUGUGGGGUAGCGGGGAAAUGCUUAGAUAUCACGAAGAACUCCGAUUGCGAAGGCAGCCUGCUGGACUGUAACUGACGCUGAUGCUCGAAAGUGUGGGUAUCAAACAGGAUUAGAUACCCUGGUAGUCCACACAGUAAACGAUGAAUACUCGCUGUUUGCGAUAUACAGUAAGCGGCCAAGCGAAAGCGUUAAGUAUUCCACCUGGGGAGUACGCCGGCAACGGUGAAACUCAAAUGAAUUGGCGGGG
rnacentral:rRNA from 1 species